CCGCCGUCGCCGCCCGCGGCGCACCCAGGACCUUCUUCCCCCAACAGAGGUCCCAAAGCGAAAAACAGACCUAUUUGGAAGUAAGGAGGGAGAUGCAUUUAGAAGAUACUACCAGAUUCUGUCCCAAAGAAGAAAGAGAAAGUGAACAAACAUCUUUCAGCGAUCAAAAUCCCAGGCAAGACCAGAAGGGGGGCUUUCGCAGCUCCUUCCGCAAGCUCUUUAAAAAGAAGUCCAGUGGAUCAGAAUACAGGGAAAAAACUAAUGAGAAUCCCUCAAUGGAUCCUUCACCCACCAAACAAGAUUUCUUCAGAAACCGACUUGCUCUUGCAAAUGACCUUGACCAAGGAACAGCUGUGUAAAACAUACUUAAAGUUGUAUUGUCAAGUGGUAAGAUGAGGAUAAAAAGCUUGUAUAUAUCUGUGUAGGAAUAUAUAUCUAUAUCUAUAUCUAUAUAUAUAUCAAUGUAUAAAUCCCU
rnacentral:lncRNA from 1 species